AACUGAAACAUCUAAGUACCCCGAGGAAAAGAAAUCAACCGAGAUUCCCCCAGUAGCGGCGAGCGAACGGGGAGGAGCCCAGAGCCUGAAUCAGCAUGUGUGUUAGUGGAAGCGUCUGGAAAGGCGCGCGAUACAGGGUGACAGCCCCGUACACAAAAGCGCAUGUGCUGUGAGCUCGAUGAGUAGGGCGGGACACGUGGUAUCCUGUCUGAAUAUGGGGGGACCAUCCUCCAAGGCUAAAUACUCCUGACUGACCGAUAGUGAACCAGUACCGUGAGGGAAAGGCGAAAAGAACCCCGGCGAGGGGAGUGAAAAAGAACCUGAAACCGUGUACGUACAAGCAGUGGGAGCCCCACCACCAAAGCAUUCUCUGGUGUUGAAGGCCCUGCAAAGCAGCAUCGCGGUGGCGGAGCGUCGUUUGCGACGCCCAACACACAAAACAAGCGGUGAGUGCUUUGGGGUGGGGUGACUGCGUACCUUUUGUAUAAUGGGUCAGCGACUUAUAUUCUGUAGCAAGGUUAACCGCAUAGGGGAGCCGGAGGGAAACCGAGUCUUAAUUGGGCGUUAAGUUGCAGGGUAUAGACCCGAAACCCGGUGAUCUAGCCAUGGGCAGGUUGAAGGUUGGGUAACACUAACUGGAGGACCGAACCGACUAAUGUUGAAAAAUUAGCGGAUGACCUGUGGCUGGGGGUGAAAGGCCAAUCAAACCGGGAGAUAGCUGGUUCUCCCCGAAAGCUAUUUAGGUAGCGCCUCGUGAAUUCAUCUCCGGGGGUAGAGCACUGUUUCGGCUAGGGGGCCAUCCCGGCUUACCAACCCGAUGCAAACUGCGAAUACCGGAGAAUGUUAUCACGGGAGACACACGGCGGGUGCUAACGUCCGUCGUGAAGAGGGAAACAACCCAGACCGCCAGCUAAGGUCCCAAAGUCAUGGUUAAGUGGGAAACGAUGUGGGAAGGCCCAGACAGCCAGGAUGUUGGCUUAGAAGCAGCCAUCAUUUAAAGAAAGCGUAAUAGCUCACUGGUCGAGUCGGCCUGCGCGGAAGAUGUAACGGGGCUAAACCAUGCACCGAAGCUGCGGCAGCGACACUGUGUGUUGUUGGGUAGGGGAGCGUUCUGUAAGCCUGUGAAGGUGUGUCGUGAGGCAUGCUGGAGGUAUCAGAAGUGCGAAUGCUGACAUAAGUAACGAUAAAGCGGGUGAAAAGCCCGCUCGCCGGAAGACCAAGGGUUCCUGUCCAACGUUAAUCGGGGCAGGGUGAGUCGACCCCUAAGGCGAGGCCGAAAGGCGUAGUCGAUGGGAAACGGGUUAAUAUUCCCGUACUUGGUGUUACUGCGAAGGGGGGACGGAGAAGGCUAUGUUGGCCGGGCGACGGUUGUCCCGGUUUAAGCGUGUAGGUGUGUGUUCCAGGUAAAUCCGGUUCACUUUAACACUGAGGCGUGACGACGAGGCACUACGGUGCUGAAGCAACAAAUGCCCUGCUUCCAGGAAAAGCCUCUAAGCAUCAGGUAACAUCAAAUCGUACCCCAAACCGACACAGGUGGUCAGGUAGAGAAUACCAAGGCGCUUGAGAGAACUCGGGUGAAGGAACUAGGCAAAAUGGUGCCGUAACUUCGGGAGAAGGCACGCUGACAUGUAGGUGAAGUGAUUUACUCAUGGAGCUGAAGUCAGUCGAAGAUACCAGCUGGCUGCAACUGUUUAUUAAAAACACAGCACUGUGCAAACACGAAAGUGGACGUAUACGGUGUGACGCCUGCCCGGUGCCGGAAGGUUAAUUGAUGGGGUCAGCGCAAGCGAAGCUCCUGAUCGAAGCCCCGGUAAACGGCGGCCGUAACUAUAACGGUCCUAAGGUAGCGAAAUUCCUUGUCGGGUAAGUUCCGACCUGCACGAAUGGCGUAAUGAUGGCCAGGCUGUCUCCACCCGAGACUCAGUGAAAUUGAACUCGCUGUGAAGAUGCAGUGUACCCGCGGCAAGACGGAAAGACCCCGUGAACCUUUACUAUAGCUUGACACUGAACAUUGAGCCUUGAUGUGUAGGAUAGGUGGGAGGCUUUGAAGUGUGGACGCCAGUCUGCAUGGAGCCGACCUUGAAAUACCACCCUUUAAUGUUUGA
rnacentral:rRNA from 1 species